CUGAGACGUUUAUUCCAUAACGAAAAAACAAUUACCAAUUGAAAUGUCGCUAAUCCUGCCAGUAUAACUAACUCCUGGUUUUUAAUGAAUUGAAAACGGCAUCGAGACGAUAACAUCUUUGCUUCCACUACACCAGCCCGUCUAAUUAAUCGUUGCUGACAAACUGUCUGUCGGAAUGCAGAUGAAAAAGCAGGCAGACUUGCCCUCCCGGUCCGUGUUCUGUCUUCCUCCUUUUUUAAAUGAGUCGGUGCAUUUCAAUAAUGAAAGAAAGACGAGAGCGGCAGAGAAAAAGCAUUUCAAGAAAUCCAUAGUCAAUUCACUUUUUCGUCACACACACACGCUCAGGCACUCACACGUUCACGCUCACGCUCACGCUCACGCUCAGACACACACACACACACACACACACACACACACACACACACACACACACACACACACACACACACACACACACAGGAUUUGGUCCAGAGACUAUUCACUGACAGACAUGUUUUAAUCCUUCGAUUAAAAUGCACAAAAAAAAGCUUAUCUUGUGAGAAACCGGCAUUCAAAUCAAUUGUCCAAUCUGCUGCAAGCUCUUUUGGAAAAAUAUUCAGCACAGAAAGUGUUGAAGGCCUGUGUAAAUGAUUAAAGAGUGUUAAAGGAGAGAGGCAGUAAUGGAAGAGAUCCAAAGUGCCCGUAUUACGCCCUAAACUGCUGGAGAAAUAGUUUUUAAUUCUAAAAUGGAUCCAGUAAUGUACUGUGUUGUGCCGUUUGGCAGCAUUCCCUGGAAAGAGAAAUGUAUGGGGAAAAAAGAGUGAUGACCCAGUUGUUAACAAGCUGUGGUUAGCCCAGUGUGUUAUCAAAAGACUCCCCUGCUACCAAAGACGUUGUGUUCAUGUGCCCAUCCCUCAGCAUUAUAUCAAUUUACAUGAAACACAGUUUCAGCAAAGCAAUCCCAUUCGUCUGAUGGCCAUCGGAAACCAAUUAACUCGGCCUCCGGAAAACACAUUUUACUUUGUUCGGAUAUAGGUCGAGCAGUAGUGAGUGCUUUUAGAAUUGGCCACAAUGUGACUAAUGCAGCUAAGCAAAGAGAAAGCUUACAAACAGACUGGCUGCUCAUAAAUAUAAUCAUUUAUAGAGAAUUUCUACUUGUUAGUUUUGGACUAGCAAAUUAAAUGUUUUCUUUUGUACAGAGUACAGUUCUGCACUGCAGAAAGGGACAGCAUAUAAGCUAUUUUAUAUAUAUAUCUCUACAUAUACAUAAUACCUAAAUUAAAAAGACUUGACCUGAAGGAUAUUUUAAGGUGGAGCCCCUUGCUCAUGAGUCUUUCAGACAGUGACCGUAAAGCAAACAGGCGUUCCCUUAAAAAGUCCCUUGUUUCUUUACUCCCAUUCCAGUCCCUUCUGUCUUUGCCAUUAACAAACGUGCUCAGAGAGAGUUCUUAUUCAGCUGCUUUAGAAAAAAGCACAUCACCCUAGCUCACAUCCCCUGUAUUUUUCCCUGCAGCAUUUUAACUUCAGGCGUGGACCACUUUCUUUACUCCACUGCCUUUCUUUUGCUUAAAAAAUCCCCCCCAAAAAAGUGUAACAGCGUAGCGUGUCAACUAAACGUGUGCGGCAUGUGUUUUCUUUCCUUUUUUCGUGGCACUUUCUUCCAGCAUGGCACCAUCUGGGUUUAGGGUCAGGCUAGGUAAUGCUAGGGCUAGGCAGCCAGGGACGGGUGGAUACACUGUGACACUUUGAUGUCAAUUUACAGUAAUGUAAUGGCGAAAUGAUUCCAUAAAACUACUGUAUUUAUAGGAUACAGUACUACUGUAAACUACUGUAAAUAAACGGUACCUUACUGGCGAAACUGCUGCCAGUACUUGACUGUAAUUUUGCUGUGAAAAGUUCAACAGUGUAAG
ensembl:lncRNA